rnacentral:lncRNA from 1 species
CAGCAACCUUCGGAAAGGGGAGGAACCUUGGGGCUGGGUUACCUGACCGAAAUGAGGGCGGGGCUGACCUGGGAUGGGCGUGGCGUGGCCCCCCGUGCGUAAAGGAGACAGGGUUUGAGGAGCUAUUGUCCAAGUAACUUCAGGGCGCGGGGGUCUUUGGAAAGGAGAAUCCGGGGGUUGGGAAGUCUGACGUCUCAAUUUUCCUAAGAUGGAGGUCUGUUCAGAUUUCAUCAGAGCACCCCUCCUACCUCAGCUCUGUGUUCCCAGGAGACGGUUGCUAGGCGACGGCAAAGUCCUUGAUUGCUGCGUUGCCAGGCAACAGAGAAACGGAAAAUGGAGGGAAAAGGGAAAUGGGGGAUGGGGAAGGGUCUUUAUGGGCCAUGGCGCCCACUGGUGGAUAAGCAGGGCCUGCAGGUUUUCUAUUCUAGAAGGAAAUUUGAGUCCAGCCCCUUCCGCACUGACUCCUUGGAUCCUCUGGUGAUCCAAGCCUUCCUACCAGAUAUGAAACUAGGACAUUGGGGGUCAUCUUGGGGGCGCAUGUAACAGAUGCCGAUCAACGGGGUCAAUCUCGCUUGGGUGAGAUUCUAGGGAAGUCGUCAUUUCUACCAUGUAUGGGCAUUUUAUAGAAGUCAGCCGAUUUGAGGAGACCCCUCACUGGGUUUUAAGAGCUGGAAGGGUGGGCGUUCAAUGGGAGAAUAUUUGGAAGAGAGGCUUUCAGGUUAAGUUGUUUGGGAGAAAAUGGAAAUCUCUGAAGAGACCUGAAGGAGGCGGUUGGGAGUGUUCUGGACGAUUUGUGGGUCAUUGCAGAUUGCCGGCCGUAUCUUUGGUGUGUAUUUUUUGAGGCCUGAGUGUGGAGAAGAUAUAUUUGGGAGCAAUCUUCCGACAAAGUUGGAAUUCAGAAUCGUGGAGGGGAUGUUCUGGGCAGACAGAAAAGGGUGUAAUCUAUGAACCUCAGGGGUAAAGAAAAGGAGAGGAGGUGUGAGCCACCGUGCCAGGCCAAAAUUUUUUUUUUUAGAGAUGGGAUCUCACUAUGUUGCCCAAGCUGGUGUUGGGCACCUGGCCUCCAGCGAUCUUCCCGUCUACAUUUCUUUUUAUAAGAGUUUUGGAAAAAAUUGACGAGAUUGCUAUUUAAUUUGGAGGGUCUGCUUUAAAGUAGAUUAAAUAUUUCCUGAAAUUGGGUUCUGGUGUGGAUUUGGAGACUGGCAUAUUAGGAAGUCAUGAGUAUCUUAUUAGAUUCGGGGGUUUGGACAGGGGAUCCCCAACAAAUUAGAGGACUUGUUAUUUGGAUGUUUAUAUUAGAGCAAGAGUAAUAUUUGCACUAAUUGCAACAUCCCUGUUAGUGGAUUGGGAGAUAGAUGUGAUAUAGAAAGGGAUGAUUUAGCAUAUAUUAAUUUGGGGGGCCAACAAGGCUCUGUGGUUCCUUAAACUCUUGAAGAAACAUGGGCUGCCUAUCAGGUGGGGCUGGACUGCAGGGGAGAACUAUGCUGGUUAGAGUAGGAGAUGCCUUGGAAUCUGAGGAGAUGCUAUCCACAGCACCAAUCUUGCGGGGGUUUGGUGGGAGAGGCAGUGUAGAUCCCUUGGGGGUUCUUGUGAGAGAAGUGCUGUUUGUUUCCCUGGACUCUGGGAGGCCAGUAGUGACGAGAUGUCCAGUGAGGUUUUGGAAUGGUUUGGGGUCUCGCGAUGUUGGGGUUGGGGGAUUAGAUGGGAUGGAAUAAGGGGUCCCUGAGAACUAGAGAGAUAAACUGGUAAAUUUAAGUCUGUCUUUAAUUGUAGAGGGGUCGGAAUAGAAGUAUACUGUGGAAAGUGAAGUUCACAGAGAAACAGCGUGAACCAGGGAAGUUGGUGGCUAAGAGGGUCUCCCCUCACCCCUCUCUCCCAACGUGACGCUCUUCCUUACUGCGCAGGCGCCGUC